CAAGAUUUUGUUUUCAGGUUGAAUAUAAAUUUUAAAUAGCUAGCUUCUUGUGCUGGACAAAUGCAAAAUAAAAUGGAACCUUAACUUUUGUGCUUAAUGAAUUAUGGUGAACUAUAGAUGGGGACGAUCCUAGUGCUUCUUGUAGAUGCGAAGCGUGGCCUAAAAGGAACACCAUGGAUUAUAAAUUUUUGACUGUGUAUGUAUAUGAAUCUUGUUAGUUAUCAUGUGGUAUAGGAUAGUGGAUUUAAAUUUGUUAACUACAAGUGUAUUUUCCGGUUCCACAUGAUAAGUAAGUAGCCAAGUCUUAGACUUACAAGAAAGCAGCUUUGCUUCUUUAUCCUCUUUAUUUGUGUUGCUCUCAAUGAGAUUUUAUUGAUACUUAGCCCUUGUUUGGCAUCCAUUUUUUGGAAAUGAAAAUGGGAGUAAUAUUAUUUAUUUUAAAAAUGAGUGGUUGAAAAAGAAGGAAAAGUUUUCCAUUUUAGUAUAAUAUUAUUUUUUUGGAAGAUUGUAUAGUUGAAAAUAGAAGAGAAAAAUGAAAUGUAAUGUAAUUUAAUGUAAUGAGAUUCAAACGGGGGCUUACUCUUAAUGUUUUCAUGUUUCAGAUUUGCUCAAUUUUUUAUUUCACCUUCGAUGAAAGCUAAAGCCAUGCACCUUGAGUUAUUAUGUAGAUUUAGGUUCCAUCAUCUUUCCUGUCUCAAUGGCUUUAGAAAUU
rnacentral:lncRNA from 1 species